rnacentral:rRNA from 1 species
CCUACGGGUCGCUGCAGUGAGGAAUAUUGGUCAAUGGACGAGAGUCUGAACCAGCCAAGUAGCGUGAAGGAUGACUGCCCUAUGGGUUGUAAACUUCUUUUAUAUGGGAAUAAAAUGUUCCACGUGUGGGAUUUUGUAUGUACCAUAUGAAUAAGGAUCGGCUAACUCCGUUCCAGCAGCCGCGGUAAUACGGAGGAUCCGAGCGUUAUCCGGAUUUAUUGGGUUUAAAGGGAGCGUAGGUGGAUUGUUAAGUCAGUUGUGAAAGUUUGCGGCUCAACCGUAAAAUUGCAGUUGAAACUGGCAGUCUUGAGUACAGUAGAGGUGGGCGGAAUUCGUGGUGUAGCGGUGAAAUGCUUAGAUAUCACGAAGAACUCCGAUUGCGAAGGCAGUUCACUGGACUGCAACUGACACUGAGGCUCGAAAGUGUGGGUAUCAAACAGGAUUAGAUACCCGGGUAGUG